CCUACGGGUGGCAGCAGUGAGGAAUAUUGGUCAAUGGGCGCGAGCCUGAACCAGCCAAGUAGCGUGAAGGAUGACUGUCCUACGGGUUGUAAACUUCUUUUAUAAAGGAAUAAAGUGAGGCACGUGUGCCUUUUUGUAUGUACUUUAUGAAUAAGGAUCGGCUAACUCCGUGCCAGCAGCCGCGGUAAUACGGAGGAUCCGAGCGUGAUCCGGAUUUAUUGGGUUUAAAGGGAGCGGAGAUGGGUUGUUAAGUCAGUAGUGAAAGGUUGUGGCUCAACCGUAAUAUUGCGUUUGAUACUGGCAGCCUUGAGUACAGGAGAGGUAGGCGGAAUGCGUGGUGUAGCGGUGAAAUGCUUAGAUAUCACGAAGAACUCCGAUUGCGAAGGCAGCCUACUAAACUGCCACUGACAUUGAUGCUCGAAAGUGUGGGUAUCAAACAGGAUUAGAUACCCGAGUAGUC
rnacentral:rRNA from 1 species